GCGGGGACCCGCGCAAGGGGUUCUUGGCAGUGGGCUUGCGAAAACUGUUCGGGUCCAGCCGACCUGUUGCCUCACAGUGGCCAAAAGGGGUAACAAGGAAGCGGGGAUUCUGCAGCAGCAGCUUGAUUGACCGGGCCCUGCACUGAAAGGCCUUGGUCUUUGUGGAUGGUUGCCGCUUCUUCUCUGGCUUUAUCAAGAGUCAGGCUCCUGCUCCCGCAGCUGCCCGGGAGCAGCAGAGUGUAGGGCCUGCCCAGGAGAGGCCCAGAGGCUCAGGCCCCCAUCCCCAGGAUCACAUGGGAUAAAACUCAUCCCAACUGCUGGGAUUGGUCCUGGAGAGAAACUGCGGUCCCCAAACAGCCAGGAGCCGCCCGGGGAGCACCUGGCCCGGUUCCCACCCCUCAGCUCACUGGCAGCGGUAGCUCCAGGCCCAGGCUCUGCUCAGUUCCUGGGACUGAAACCUGCGCCAUUCUGGCCCCCCGGGACAACAUGGCCCUGUCUCCUACCCUCUCCCCUCCUCAGCUGCCCGUUGGAGCCAAGGUCCUGGAUGAAGAUCUCGGUCUGCCUCGCCCUAAAAACAAAGGCUGGAAAGCUGCUGCCACUUGACCUCUGAGGUUUCCCACAGCCCAGGCCCCAUGGCUUUCUUCCGUGUGCCAGAUGUGCGCCAAGCUCCAGGUCCUGUUGGUCUCCCUCAUAUCCCCACUCCUGUCUCCCCAGGACCCCCCGGUGAACUUUCAGCCUCUGACCGCACCCACGGGUGUUCUCUGGGAGCCACCUGUGAGAGACAGGAGCCUCACGGGGCUGGAGAAGAGGGAAACAGGAACCAGGGCCCUCUAGGGUCUGCUACCCAGAAGUGGCCCUCUUCCUCCCUGGUCCCACUCUCUGAGUGACAGGACCCCCAGCUCUAGCCCCUUCCUGGGCCGGCCUGGAAGGAAAGAGGAAAGCCCUUCGCUGAGCGUAUGUGCGCCUUUGAGUGUGCAAGUGUGAGCACGUGGGAUAGCGUGUGCCUGUGUCUGCUCGUGAGGGUGGUGGGGGUGGAGCUGAUGAGCAGGAGUAGCCACUCCAGGUGCCCACCGGCCCUGUGCCAGGGGCUCGCCUGGGCCUCGGAGGCCCUCCGCACAGGCAGGGAUGGGUGUGCCACUUUCAGACCCCACCAUCGGGAGACCUGCUGCUGGGGGCCCCACGCAGGCCCAGAGCCCUGGCUUGGCCUGUGGCUGUGUCCAAAGACGUUCGUCAGAGAGGGCAGAGAGCAGGCCUCAGCCUCGUGUUCCUGGCACUGGCCUGGCCACGGUCAGCUGUCAAACUGCUUUCCCGCUUCCCCUCUGGCCCUGCUUUCUCUCCCCCACAGGGCCCUUGCUGCUCGUGCACUUUAUUUAUUUGCAGUCCGUUCCAGACGGUAGAAAUUCUACAACUGCAGACAUGACCUGGGUGUCUUUGUGUUUCUCUGUGAUGCCUUCAGCACUGGCCAGCACUGCUAGUCAGAAAUCUUGUCUUGUUUCUGGUGUUGUCGCAUCUUGUCUCCCCAAGUGAAAAAGAAAGUGCUUGAGUUCAGUACACUACAAUACUGGCUGGAGGCCUCCUGUUUCUGCUGGGGGUGUGGGCGGAGCCCUGGGGGAAGGGCAGUCACCAGCUCUGGGGCCAGGAGCCAAGCGCGACACCUGCUCAGAAGCCCCAUCCAGAAGUCACUUGCAGGUCCACUGCCCUCACCUAAGACGGCAGCGGCAGAGCCCAGCCCAGGACAGGGCAGUCAGUCCUGUUCCCAUCCUUGGUCAAACCUGAAGCGAGUCUGUGUGUCCAUUUUCGAGCUGGGUGUUCAAAGCGCUUAGUGCAGCGGAACCUGGAGGGUAAAGGGAAGUGAAACUGACUGUCUGCAGGUCACUGUGUGCAGCCCAGAGGCCCAGGUGAUAGGCCCUGCUGCUAUCCUAUGGGCAGGUUGCUGGGGACACUUGGAUAGGGCCAGCCACCCACCAGGCCGUGGACCUGGAAGCCCGCUUCCCUGCCCCGAUCUUAGACCCAGGCUCUCGCUCCUCCUCCUCAGAGAAGAAGCCGGGCACCACGGGCUGAGGCAUCUACUUGUCCAGCAGAGCAAGAAGGAGAGGCCCAGCCCCGAGCCUGGGGCCCAGCCAGGGUGACGAGAGAAGACCAGCUCAGACGAAGCGGCAGCCUCGCCUGCAGUGGCAAAGGGACACACUGGCCAGCGCCAGAGGGAGACCCUGAGCCCAGCUCUUUCAUUUCCUCCCGCGGAGGCCCUGCACGCCACACACAACCCCGUGACACUAGGGAAGGCUUUUUUGGUCCCCGUGUGUCACCAGGCCUCACCUGGAGCAGCCUUGUUCAAGUGGGAGAGAAAUGGAAUGGGGGAACUCCCCUCCUGUGAGGGUGCGGUGUUGCCACCCACUCCGCUGGGCGGGUUGAGCUGCUCCGCUCCGCAGAACCCCACUCGUGCUGGACCCUUGGUCCGCAUCACAGAGGAGCCGAGGGUGGGAGCCCAGUCUGAAAUCCAUCCCUGAGCAGAAGCCCUUUUAUGAACUCCUUCCCCUGGAGGGACGGGAUUGGGCAGGAAGAACAGUGCAAGACAAGCAGGAGAUGUUCUCGUUCUCUCUCCACACACACACACACACACACACACACACACACACACACACGCGGCGGUGGGGGCACGCUGUACAUCUCCAUUUUUCUACAUUCAAAGCUGCUCAGUGCUCCCGUUUAUGAAGGAAGAUAACAGCAUAUGUAUUUCCCAAAGUUUCUUGGCUGCUUACUCUUGUUUGUUCAUUUGGAGAAUCUGAGGUUUUGGUGGCUCGGUUUGGGUUCAUCUGUGUUUGAUGAAUGAUGCAAUGGCACAUGUGGAAAAGUCCUGAUCGGUUCCUCCAUUUAUAUUCCUAAAAGUGGGCCGGAGGACAGGCGUGUGUGCCACAUCUGAUCCCCUCCCUCACUGUGGUGCCAGGGUGCUCUACUCGGUCCCGUCAGGAGUGAGUUUCUGAAUCGAGAGUGAGGGUUCUGAGUCACAGUACAGGUUUAAAGUUUUGUUACUGCCUUUCAUUGCCUGAAGCUGGGGGCAUUUCUCUCACUUGGAGACCAAUAUCAUGUAGAAUUUAAAUCAUCACUUUCCUACAGCUUUUGUCUUCAUCCUCCAAUUUAUCGAGACCACAAUCCAGUGUCCUAGGGCAGAAAACUGGAUCCUUGCCCUCUCUGCCCCUUUACCUGUACCUAAUCAGGGUUAUCAAGCUCCCAAUUUGUCACCUUACAACCCUUUAAAUUGGCCUCUUAUUGUGCAGCCAUAAGCAGGAUGGGAUAUGUUCCAUACCUGCUGACCGAUUCUACUUCCCCUUUUAACUAUGGGGAGUGCUUUUCUGCCCCAAGGGAAAUGAGACGUGCCUGUUAGCACUGAGUGUUGAGAAAUGACUUUGGGUCAGGAUGUCAGCUUGGACUCACUCUGUACCACCCUGACCCGUUCCAUCCCCACCCACUUUUCCAAACACAUGGUAACGAUGAGUGACGUGUCUUAAAGAGAGUAGCCACUCUUAGCAGGAAAGCAUCAGGGCCAGAAGCGGGGGGCAUGCAGAGCAGCAAGGGGCACCUGAAGCUGUACAACCCUUGGAGGCCGGGAUGGAAAGCGGGUCUGAGACACCAGGAGGGUCAGCGAGCCCAGGCGAGCACUGUUGUGGUAGGGAGCCAGACCCUACCUGGUGUCUCUCCAAGAGAAGUGGCCUGCCCAAGCCAUGGGGUAAAACAAUCACCUUCAAGUCUCUCAGCCCCCAAUCUUCCCUGUGCCCAGUGUGGGUCUACACGCUACGUGACAAAGGACCCAAGUGAUGAGUAGAAGUCAUUAUGUGUGCACACAAAAUAGACUGCUAGCCACAUUUCUGUGAGGCUGAAGUGCAUUCACAGCAAAGUGAGUAACCUCACACCCACUAGCGAGGAAAACCAAGUCACCCCAGAAUGAAUAGCAACCAGAUUGCACCCCAAAAUGAAUGACAACCAGGUGGACAGCAAACACUGUCCCCAUCAAUGAGGGACAGAGCACAAUGCACCAAAAGGGUUCGGCUGCAGGACACAGAAACCACCAGCCAUUUUACACAGAAGUGAAAUUCGGCCACAGAGCAGGUGCUAGCUUAAUUUUUCAAACACUGGAACCCUGAGAUCGAAGCUGGGCCUCCAACAAACCCAGGGUUCCACAACAGAACUGUCCCACCAUGUGAGAAAGCACUCGUCCCCCAGUCAAGGUGUAAGGAAAUCAGGAACUUCUCGCCAGAGUCUUCAAGACCACAGCCCCGUGGCUGGGGUGCGGGGAUCAGAAAGCUGCCGCCACCAGCACAACGGCUGGACACGCAUGACGUAGUGACUGGGAGAGGAGCCCGCGGCGGGCAAGCACAAAGGGUGGAACAGCACUGGACGGCAACGGAGCAGAGAGGCAGGAAGGCACUCAGCCUUUCUUAUCCCUCCGAAGUCUAACUCAAGAGCCCCUCAGCAGCGGGCUCUAAUUUCCAUUCAGAACUUCUUACUGCCCGGCAAGCCGGAAAUGCAGAAUUUCAGUUCUCAGAUGGUGCAGGGCCCUAGGACACAGUGAGACACUGAGUGCCAAUUCCCCAUAUGCAUCACAGAGCGCUCAGAGAAAAUUCCUGUGAGCUGAGAUCGUGUGUGCAGAUGAGAAAUGAACAUCUCCUGAUACACAGCAGGGCUUAGAGAUUUACUAUCCAUCCGAUCUUGCUGAAAGGAUGACUAGAGGGUGUGUGAGCAAUGACAAGGGCAAGCCCAAGGGAAGACGGGGAAGCUAAGACAUAACAGCAGGUGGGCUGGGGAUUUAGCUCAGUGCUGCCGCUGCCCGCCUCACAAGGAUAAAAUCCCGAGUUCAUUUCCUGGUAGAGAGAAAAAAAAAAAAAAAAAAAAAAGAAAUAAGAGCAAGGAAAUAUUCAUUAAAAGGGACUUAAGCCGAGCGAAUCUCCACAGGCAGUGAUGGUUCAGGGGAAACAUAGAAAGAAAAAGAAGGCUUCCCAUUUCAUGAGAGCUUUUUGUAGGUGUUUCAGAGAAGCUCAGCUGUCUGGACUGGAAUAAGAGGCUGCUGGAGAGGGAACUGGAUCACAGGGGCGCUGUAGGCAUCAGUAGAUUCACCCUCUCAUGUUCACCACUGAAUGAGCUGGGAGGCGGUGGGGACGCCUGCAGGAGGCCGUUGCUGGGGCUCCAGACAGUUUGCCCCAGCAAUGGGAAGACUGAGCAGUACAGCCUGGUUACUGCUCUGAGCACGCUACAUAGACUCAUGUAACAUUCAUGAGGGCUCUGAAACAGAUACUCACACAUCACUCUUGUGGGCGAUGAGGUGACCAAGGCUCAAAAGUCUAAGAAAACACGAUUCUACCAAGGUUGCUACUUCCCGCUCCCCUGUCCUAGCGCCAGAAUGACAUCUGUUAAGGUAGAGCAGUGCGGGGCCCGGAUGAGCUGAGAGGAGCAAAGACCAUGCCUUCCAAAUUUUGGCCAAGACUCUGGGAGUUGACAUGUGCCUCGGGCAAAAGGCUCAGCUGUGCAGCCCCCCUGGCCCUCCGCUGCCACAGCACACAUACUCAGAGGUUCGCUGUGCAAGAAGAUGAAGAAAAUCUCUCUCUCCCAUACUGCGGCAGCCCUGCUGCUGAAGUGACUCCCUCGGUGCAGGGAGGACGUCUAGCAACAGCGGCCGGAACUUCAGCCACACUGGAGAGUUCAUGGGAGCUGUGGACUCCAUGGCCCACGCCUCUCCUAUCCAACCGCAGCCUCCUCUGUGAUUCCCACAGGGUGUGGACUCUCACAGGGACUCAGACACGCCACAGCUCCCACCUUGCACUUUCUCUCCUAGGAGCUACUGAGCCAUGGGUCAUGAACCCCAGGGCACGGAGCAGUAACACAAGCCAUGUUCCAUUGCGACCUGCAACCCUGUCCUUCUGAUUUAACUGCAGCAGCCAGAACAGAGCCCAGCACAUGAUACUGACUC